AGAGUUUGAUCCUGGCUCAGAUUGAACGCUGGCGGCAGGCUUAACACAUGCAAGUCGAGCGGAAACGAAGGUAGCUUGCUACCAGGCGUCGAGCGGCGGACGGGUGAGUAAUGCUUAGGAAUCUACCGAGUAGUGGGGGAUAGCCAUUGGGAACGAUGAUUAAUACCGCAUAUAUCCUACGGGGGAAAGCAGGGGACCUUCGGGCCUUGCGCUAUUCGAUGAGCCUGAGUGAGAUUAGCUAGUUGGUGGGGUAAAGGCCUACCAAGGCGACGAUCUCUAGCUGGUCUGAGAGGAUGAUCAGCCACACUGGGACUGAGACACGGCCCAGACUCCUACGGGAGGCAGCAGUGGGGAAUAUUGCACAAUGGACGAAAGUCUGAUGCAGCCAUGCCGCGUGUGUGAAGAAGGCCUUCGGGUUGUAAAGCACUUUCAGCGAGGAGGAAAGGUCAGUAAGUAAUAUUUGCUGGCUGUGACGUUACUCGCAGAAGAAGCACCGGCUAAUUUAGUGCCAGCAGCCGCGGUAAUACUAAAGGUGCAAGCGUUAAUCGGAAUUACUGGGCGUAAAGCGCGCGUAGGUGGUUUGUUAAGUUGGAUGUGAAAGCCCAGGGCUCAACCUUGGAACUGCAUUCAAAACUGACUCACUAGAGUACGAGAGAGGUUAGUGGAAUUUCCUGUGUAGCGGUGAAAUGCGUAGAGAUGGGAAGGAACACCAGUGGCGAAGCGACUGACUGGCUCGAUACUGACACUGA
rnacentral:rRNA from 1 species